CCUACGGGAGGCAGCAGUGGGGAAUAUUGCACAAUGGGCGCAAGCCUGAUGCAGCGACGCCGCGUGAGGGAUGACGGCCUUCGGGUUGUAAACCUCUUUCAGCAGGGACGAAGCGCAAGUGACGGUACCUGCAGAAGAAGCACCGGCCAACUACGUGCCAGCAGCCGCGGUAAUACGUAGGGUGCAAGCGUUGUCCGGAAUUACUGGGCGUAAAGAGCUCGUAGGCGGUUUGUCGCGUCGUCUGUGAAAACCCAGCAGCUCAACUGUUGGCUUGCAGGCGAUACGGGCAGACUUGAGUAUUUCAGGGGAGACUGGAAUUCCUGGUGUAGCGGUGAAAUGCGCAGAUAUCAGGAGGAACACCGGUGGCGAAGGCGGGUCUCUGGGAAAUAACUGACGCUGAGGAGCGAAAGCGUGGGUAGCGAACAGGAUUAGAUACCCUGGUAGUCCACGCCGUAAACGGUGGGCGCUAGGUGUGGGUUUCCUUCCACGGGAUCCGUGCCGUAGCUAACGCAUUAAGCGCCCGCUGGGGAGACGCGCGAGACGUAACGUACAAUUAGAGUAGUUAGCGUGNGACGNGCGACGGACGACGACGAGGAGGAGG
rnacentral:rRNA from 1 species